CGAGCUUUUUUUUCCCCACAAGGGCCCGUUCUUGCCCCUGGGGACUAUCGCAGCCGUCCCGCCCCGCUAUCGCGACAGGGCGCGACACUGACGCCGCCGCCUUUGUUCGGGCGCGGGGGGGCGCGGCCGCGCCCCGCCACUGGGGGGCGCUCCCGGAGCCACCGCUCCGUGAGGGCCGCGGCCACCGCCCGCCGCCGGCCCCGCCGCCGCUGCCUUCGGCGCUGCCCCUGGGCGGGGAAGGGAAGGGAAGGGAGGGAAGUACCGUCCCAGCCCCUCCAGCCCGCGGGGGCCAUUUUUAAAUGGCUCUGUCAGACAGCGGCGCGGGGGGGAGCAGGUGCCGGAAGAGCUCAGUUUGUGGUCCCAUUCCCCUCUCAGGCGGGGCAGGGCGAGUUGUCGCCGCACGAACCGCCGAGACCGGCACGGCAGGGGAACCGCGAGGCAGCACAAGGAGACGCAUCCCGGCUGCAUGCCGGUGCGCGCCCCGCGGCGGGGAGUCCCCCGCGUUUAAAGGGCAGCACCGCGCGGAGGGAUCCCGGAGCGGGACUUCUUCCCCGCACACACGGCCGUGCGGGGCGGCCCGGGCCUCGUUCCCCUCCCUCGGCGGGAUCCCUCCGCCGCGCCGGGCGGUCAUGGGCCCCGCGGCCGCCGCCGGCCGCGCUCCGCGGCCGGACGGGCUACCCCGGCUGCCCCCGCGCCGCCCGCGGUGAAGCGGCGGCGACAGGAGGCGGCGGCGGGGAGCGGCACGGCUGGGGGCGGGCUGUGUUUCCUUGCCAGCGGUGUAUCCUUCCGCGGCGGCGGGAGUGCGCGGCGGCGGGUGUCCGCGGUGUCCCUCCGCCGCCGGGAGCGCAGGGGCACUCGGCGUCUCCCCGGACGGGGCGAGGAGGUCGCGGGCUCCGCCGGGAGGAACAAGAAGAAACUUCGGGGCGCAGCGGCCAGCGCGGCGCUCGCCUGGCUCGGCGGGGCGGCGGAACGAGGGCUCCCCGCAGGGAAGGAGGAGAAGGAGGAGGAAGCGGCGGCCGGUCCGCGCCGCCACCCCGCGGGGUCUCUGCGGGGGAGCCCGGGGGACUCUUUCUCGCGGGGCGCGGCGGAGGGAUCUCCAGGCGGCUCUCCCCGCCGCCUCCCCCCUGCGCCGCUCGCCCCUCGGCGCCGCCAUCUUGGAUUUUAAUCCGCCAUUUUUUUUCCUCCCCCACUCGGAAUUAUUUUUUUAUCACUAUCGCCGCUUUUUUUUUUUCUCCCCCCUUCCUUAGUUUUCCUCCCCAGUCCGCCCCUGCCUGGCUCGGUCUUCACUUUCCCCUCUUCAGCUUCCUCCCUUCCCCCUUCCCCCCCCUCCCGCACCCUUGCCUUUGA
rnacentral:lncRNA from 1 species